GAUGAACGCUAGCGGCAGGCCUAAUACAUGCAAGUCGAACGGUGUCUUCGGACAUAGUGGCGCACGGGUGCGUAACACGUAUGCAACCUACCUUACAUUGGGGGAUAGCCUUUCGAAAGGGAGAUUAAUAUCGCAUAAGACAGUAGCUGGGCAUCCAGCAGCUGUUAAAGAUUUAUCGAUGUAAGCUGGGCAUGCGUCCAAUUAGCUAGUUGGUGAGAUAACGGCUCACCAAGGCAAUGAUUGGUAGGGGAACUGAGAGGUCAAUCCCCCACACUGGCACUGAGAUACGGGCCAGACUCCUACGGGAGGCAGCAGUAGGGAAUAUUGGGCAAUGGACGCAAGUCUGACCCAGCCAUGCCGCGUGCAGGAUGAAGGCGUUAUGCGUUGUAAACUGCUUUUAUACAGGAAGAAACGACUCUUGCGAGAGGCAUUGACGGUACUGUAUGAAUAAGCACCGGCUAACUCCGUGCCAGCCGCCGCGGUAACAC
rnacentral:rRNA from 1 species